UACAGAGGGGGCAAGCGUUGUUCGGAAUUACUGGGCGUAAAGGGCGCGUAGGCGGCCCGCUAAGUCGAACGUGAAAUCCCCGAGCUCAACUCGGGAACUGCGUCCGAUACUGGUGGGCUUGAAUCCGGGAGAGGGAUGCGGAAUUCCAGGUGUAGCGGUGAAAUGCGUAGAUAUCUGGAGGAACACCGGUGGCGAAGGCGGCAUCCUGGACCGGCAUUGGACGCUGAGGCGGCGAAAAGCUGAGGGGAGCCAAAGCGGGG
rnacentral:rRNA from 1 species